GCAACGAUAGCUUAAACUAAAAGCAUUGGUCUUGUAAGUCAAAGAUGAAUUUAGAUAUUCUCGUUGCU
rnacentral:tRNA from 1 species